CUUCUCUUUGCUGCUGAGGUAUAAUAAAGAAAGAGAUAAGCAUAAUAUGAGCCUCCGUGUCCUUUAAUAAAAUUAAUAAUUCUAUACUUGAAGAAUAAUACUUUGGAGACAUUACAUAUAUGCUCUUGCACAAUAACCUGCUGGAAUUUAAGAUGUUAAGAGCUCUGGAAGGCUCAUGGCCUUUUCUUUGAGACAGAGCACACAUUUUCCUGUAUUUUUAGUCUAUGAAUAGACCCACUAAUGAGAUGGACUUGUUGAGAACAAAGCCUGUCUUUUGUCAUUGUUUUAACCAACCAUGGUAUAUGAUGAAAGAUGUUAUGAUAUCUAAAUCUUUUUGCCAUUGUUCUUCUGUUCUUGACAGAAUAAGCUAAUCAUUUAGAUAAGGUAUAAUAUAAAUCCACAGUUUUCUGAGAUGAGCGGCUUAAUAGUGUUUUGGCUAUCUUCCUCCCCAAGAACAUUUACAUAGGUCCUAAGGGUAGAACUCUGAAGAGAAAAUAUGUAGGUAUGCAUCUUUUAAGUCCAAAGAUGCCAUGUAGUCAAAUUUUUUGAUUAAAUGAUGCUAGGGACUCCAUUCUGAACUUUUGCUUCUUUAAGAGUCUGUUCACAUAUUUCAGAUCUAAGAUGUUGCGAAAUGUUUCAUCUGGCGAUGUGUUGGUUCUUUUGUGUGUGUGUGUGUGUGUGUGUUUGUGUGUUUUGUUUUUUUAAAAAUUUUUUUAACAUGAGCCUUGAGUAAAUUUACUUGACAUUGUUCAAGAAGGCACCUUUACCACUGCCUUUUCUUUUAGUGGCAAUACUGUAUUCCAGAGUUCAUAUUCUAUCAGAGCUGAAUGGACUAAAUAAAAUUAAGUUUUCCUCAUCCUCACCUAAUAAGUUUUUUGUUUUGUUUUUUAUAAUAUAUAGAACCCUGUAGUGUUUUUCCAAAUUUCUAGAAAAAGACUUACUCUUCCUCUAACCAGCCUGGCAUCCCCAUUUUAUAGCAGAGGAGAAAAAUGCUGAUUUCGUAUUAUUUAUAUUUGAAGAAAUAGCAAAGGAUUUUGUUGAGAAACUGGAAUAUCGUCUUUGAAAAGGUUCCUUCAACGUAGGAUUCCUGUUGGAGAACAAAUUUCUAUUCCAAGACUGUUUACGUUUGACUUUUUUACUAUCAGCAGUCUGCUUGUCAAGAGCUGAACCGAACAAUCUUUCUUGCUCGAAAAGGUAAUUCACAAAGUGAGUAUUUUAAAGGGGCAUCUCCAAACCCAGGACCUGAGCCAUACGGCUGUACAUACUCCAGUAGUCAAGCCCAUGGAUCUGACUGCAAGCUUCAGAUGUAGUGCCAUAUUAAAAACAGAGGUUAUUUUAAUAUUUUGUAGUAACUUCAAAGGGUCUUCAUUA